rnacentral:rRNA from 2 species
UAGGGAAUCUUCGGCAAUGGGGGGAACCCUGACCGAGCAACGCCGCGUGAGUGAAGAAGGUUUUCGGAUCGUAAAGCUCUGUUGUUAAGGAAGAACGAGUGUGAGAAUGGAAAGUUCAUGCUGUGACGGUACUUAACCAGAAAGGGACGGCUAACUACGUGCCAGCAGCCGCGGUAAUACGUAGGUCCCGAGCGUUGUCCGGAUUUAUUGGGCGUAAAGCGAGCGCAGGCGGUUAGAAAAGUCUGAAGUGAAAGGCAGUGGCUCAACCAUUGUAGGCUUUGGAAACUGUUUAACUUGAGUGCAGAAGGGGAGAGUGGAAUUCCAUGGGUAGCGGUGAAAUGCGUAGAUAUAUGGAGGAACACCGGUGGCGAAAGCGGCUCUCUGGUCUGUAACUGACGCUGAGGCUCGAAAGCGUGGGGAGCGAACAGG